rnacentral:rRNA from 1 species
AUUGAACGCUGGCGGCAUGCUUUACACAUGCAAGUCGAACGGUAACAGGCCUUCGGGUGCUGACGAGUGGCGAACGGGUGAGUAAUGCAUCGGAACGUACCCAGAGGUGGGGGAUAACGCAGCGAAAGCUGUGCUAAUACCGCAUGUGAUCUGAGGAUGAAAGCGGGGGACCGAGCAGCAAUGUUUGGCCUCGCGCCUUUGGAGCGGCCGAUGUCGGAUUAGCUAGUUGGUGGGGUAAAGGCCUACCAAGGCGACGAUCCGUAGCUGGUCUGAGAGGACGACCGGCCACACUGGAACUGAGACACGGCCCAGACUCCUACGGGAGGCAGCAGUGGGGAAUUUUGGACAAAGGGCGCAAGCCUGACCCAGCAAUGCCGCGUGAGGGAAGAAGGCCUUCGGGUUGUAAACCGCUUUUGGCAGGAACGAAACGGUGUCCGCUAAUACCGGGCGCUAAUGACGGUACCUGCAGAAAAAGCCCCGGCUAACUACGUG